AACGAACGCUGGCGGCAGGCCUAACACAUGCAAGUCGAGCGAGGACUUCGGUCCUAGCGGCGGACGGGUGAGUAAAGCGUGGGAACGUGCCCUUUGAUUCGGAAUAGCCCUGGGACACUGGGAGUAAUACCGGAUGAGCCAUUCGGGGGACAGAUUUAUCGGCGUAGGAUCGGCACGCGUUGGAUUAGGUAGUUGGUGGGGUAAUGGCCUAUCACGGCGUCGCUCCUUAGCUGGGUUGAGAGGCUGAUAAGCCACACUGGGACUGGGACACGGCCCGGACUCCUACGGGAUGCAGCAGUGGGUAAUCUUAGACAACCGGGUAAAUCCUGAUCGAGCCAUGCCUCUUGAGCGAUGAUGGUCUGAGAGUAGUAAAGCACUUUCAUCUGGGAAUAUAAUGACGGUACCAGAAGAAGAAGCCCCGGCUAACUCCGUG
rnacentral:rRNA from 1 species